UAAAUUUUUCCCAAUCCUUGUUCUGCCGAGAGGAAGUGAUUUUCAAUUCAACCACGACAUCAUCAUCAACUUCCAACUUCUUGUAUUGCUCGACCAAAGACUUAGUUCGCUCAAUUCCUUGGGAGGCGUUGCGCUUUUUAGCAGCCAUUCUCGCCUUGCAGUCGUCCAUUUUGGCCUGAAGUUCCUUCAUCUGAGCAGCCAAACUAACCAUCAAAGAGUCUUCAAUCAUGACUUCGGAAGAGAUUUCUUUCAACUCGUCCUCAGCCUUGUUGAUCUCCAGACGCAAAGACUCUUUUUCAGAUACGGCGCGAAGAUAUUGAGUACUUUUGGCCUUUAGUUCAGCAUUCUUG
rnacentral:lncRNA from 1 species